GAUGAACGCUGGCGGCGUGCCUAAUACAUGCAAGUCGAACGCAUAGCGAAAGGUGCUUGCCCCUUUCAAGUGAGUGGCGAACGGGUGAGUAACACGUGGACAACCUGCCUCAAGGCUGGGGAUAACAUUUGGAAACAGAUGCUAAUACCGAAUAAAACUUAGUGUCGCAUGACACAAAGUUAAAAGGCGCUUCGGCGUCACCUAGAGAUGGAUCCGCGGUGCAUUAGUUAGUUGGUGGGGUAAAGGCCUACCAAGACAAUGAUGCAUAGCCGAGUUGAGAGACUGAUCGGCCACAUUGGGACUGAGACACGGCCCAAACUCCUACGGGAGGCUGCAGUAGGGAAUCUUCCACAAAGGGCGAAAGCCUGAUGGAGCAACGCCGCGUGUGUGAUGAAGGCGUUCGGGUCGUAAAGCACUGUUGUAUGGGAAGAACAGCUAGAAUAGGAAAUGAUUUUAGUUUGACGGUACCAUACCAGAAAGGGACGGCUAAAUACGUG
rnacentral:rRNA from 1 species